GUGUAGCUUUAAAUGGUGGAGCUUACUAUUAGACUGAUGGUUUAUUAAACUUCUUGCGAGUUCAUCAGGUGCAGGGUAUCUGUUUCUCAUUUGGGUUUUGCGAUUUUUGAUUGAAUCGGCCCUCCCAACUUUGGCAACACCAUAAUGUCCUUAGAUUCCAAUGAAGAUGUUGUCGUCGGUGCCCUGAAGCAUAGCUUGCCUCAAGUUUUGGUAUCAUGGCUUUGACUUGAACCUUAUUGUAUACGGUUCUUAACUUUGUGUACAUUUGCUAUGCGUUCAGUCGUAUAUGGAGAGGUCCGAUUUUGGUAUACAGAGUGAGUUCAUGUUUAUGUUGGGUAGAAGAUGUAACUUUCUUUUUGUCAAUUUAAUAAGCAAUAGAAGAUGGCCAUUGAUAUCCUCCUACUGAUUCAGCAUCUUAUUUCAAAAGGUUUGGGCUAGUCUAUUGCUGCAGUGAUGGUCCUUGAUAACUUCCAGAAAGGAAAGAAGAUUUAUUGUUAUCCCUAAGUUGUAGUAGUUUUUGUUAUAAAGUGUUUCUAUUUGAAUAUUUUCAUUAGUGCUAGAGCACUAAAUUUUCAAGCUCUUGGGUUCUCGUUAGAAGUUUUUCUUGUGAACAUGUUAGCACAAUUUUAAAUAUUUUUUUGAGAUUAUUAUGAGUGUGAAUUUGGA